UACGUUCCCGGGCCUUCGUACACACCGCCCGUCAAGCCACUGGAAGUCAGGGAGACCUGAAGCCGGUGACCGUCACAGGAGCCGUCUAGGGUAAAACUGGUAACUGGGGCU
rnacentral:rRNA from 1 species